AUACCACCUCUACAAAACUUUGCUACAAACCUAUGAUCUACUUUCCAAAAACUCUUUCAACUUGACAACAGACGCUGAAAAAGAAAAUUCAAAUUUGGAAACAAUCAGAUUGAAGUCAACGUCAAAAUUAAGCGAAAUUUUCUCGUGUUUCACGUACAGUUAAUUGCAAUAUGCUAGUGAAAUUGCUGUGGAAUGUAGCUAGGAUAAUACUGUUAUCCUCGUUGUCGUUUGGCAUUUGAACUGAUGCCGAUGUAUAGAACGUCUCUUGCGCUUUAGCAGGAGUGGGUGUGGGCAGCGCUUCAUCAACUAUUCAAAUGUAUGCAUGAUUUGCGUGUCGUUACUGAGUUUAAUCAGCGCUGGACUCUUGGUGUUCUGUCUGCCUCUCUGCACCAAAAGUUUCUUCGAACGCAAGUGCAAUUGUCCCGCUGUGCCGAUCUGCCCGGACUGCGGCAUGCCCUUCUAAAUUAAGGAGUCGUGUACUGGCUAAACCUAGAAGCUUGUGCGGGCACUCUUUAUUUUGUUAGGUUUAUCGAUCAUCAUGAUUUGCAUGAGCUUCGCCACGGCGAUCACAGCGGCCGGUCUGAUUGUACUGGGACCGAUGCUUUGUGAGAAAUUUUUAUUUUGUUUCCUAAAGUCCAAAAAAUGAUUGUUAAUUGUGAAUAUACUUUUUAAGACUAUUUAUUAUGGUUAAUUAAACUAAAGCUUACGAUAAC